GAUGAACGCUGGCGGCGUGCCUAAUACAUGCAAGUCGAGCGAGAAAUUUUUAUUAGAUCCCUUCGGGGUGAAGAUAAAAAUGGGAAGCGGCGGACGGGUGAGUAACGCGUGGGCAACCUACCUUUUACUGGGGGACAACAUUCUGAAAAGGAUGCUAAUACCGCAUAUACGGUGGCUAUCGCAUGGUAGCAACUGGAAAACUCCGGUGGUAAAAGAUGGGCCCGCGUCUGAUUAGCUAGUUGGUGAGAUAACAGCUCACCAAGGCGACGAUCAGUAGCCGACCUGAGAGGGUGACCGGCCACAUUGGGACUGAGACACGGCCCAAACUCCUACGGGAGGCAGCAGUAGGGAAUAUUGCACAAUGGGGGAAACCCUGAUGCAGCGACGCCGCGUGAAGGAAGAAGGUUUUCGGAUCGUAAACUUCUAUCAGCAGUGAAGAUAAUGACGGUAACUGACUAAGAAGCCCCGGCUAACUACGUGCCAGCAGCCGCGGUAAUACGUAGGGGGCAAGCGUUAUCCGGAAUUACUGGGUGUAAAGGGUGCGUAGGCGGUAAGGCAAGUCAGAUGUGAAACCCCUGAGCUUAACUCAGGGCAUGCAUUUGAAACUGUUUUACUAGAAUACAGGAGAGGUAAGUGGAAUUCCUAGUGUAGCGGUGAAAUGCGUAGAUAUUAGGAAGAACACCGGUGGCGAAGGCGACUUACUGGACUGUGAUUGACGCUGAGGCACGAAAGCGUGGGGAGCAAACAGG
rnacentral:rRNA from 1 species